rnacentral:rRNA from 1 species
UACAGAGGUCUCAAGCGUUGUUCGGAUUCAUUGGGCGUAAAGGGUGCGUAGGCGGCGCGGUAAGUCGGGUGUGAAAUCUCGGAGCUUAACUCCGAAACUGCAUUCGAUACUGGCGUGCUUGAGGACUGGAGAGGAGACUGGAAUUCAUGGUGUAGCAGUGAAAUGCGUAGAGAUCAUGAGGAAGACCAGUGGCGAAGGCGGAUCUCUGGACAGUUCCUGACACUGAGACACGAAGGCCAGGGGAGCAAACGGG